rnacentral:lncRNA from 1 species
CACAGCAUGCAGAGGUUCCCAGGCUAGGAGUCCAAUCGAAGCUAUAGCUGCCGGCCGACACCACAGCCCCAGCAACAUCAGAUCCAAGCCGCGUCUGCGACCUACACCACAGCUCACAGCAACGCCGGAUCCUUAGCCCACUGAGCAAGGCCAGGGAUCGAACCCGCAACCUCAUGGUUCCUAGUUGGAUUUGUUUCCGCUGCACCAUGAGGGGAACUCCUUAUGGCUUUCUUGAGCGAUUUCUAACCUAAAGAAAUCUCCCAAAGGUCCCUAGGUUUCCCUCUCUAUCUGUGGUCCCCUCCUGGGACUCCUACAACUACUCUGUGUAACUGUCCUACUCCAUCCUUAUCAGUGUGACAGCCAAGACCCUCCUGUCUACACAGGGCUCAGUGUUUGGAUCCUGGAGGGACACUGCCCAGGAGCUGUUUAAAUUGGAUGGUGGCCUGUAAUCUUGUAUCAGAGAUCAGUUGCCUCGCAGCCAAUAUUGUCUCUCAACUGAAACCCUCAGGACCCUGUGAGGGCGCCCUAGGUACAAAAUCUCCUUCAUGUUCCCUGUUUCUUGUUUGUAGAAAAAGGCUCUAGUCUCCUAGGCCCUCCCUGAGUUCCAAAGAGCAGGCACAGGAGUAACUAACAGGGGAAGUGAGGAAAUGCGGAAACAGAGGAAAAGCAGUUUGAAGGCGAAAAGCAAUGGCAAUAGUUCAGAGAUAAAACAGAGUCCUGGUUCCUCCUCUAGAGGAUAUGCAGAGGAAUCUGAAGGGUAUCUUUGAUACGCUCUUGAGGAACCAAGGACAGCCCCGGCCCCGGGUGGAGGGCGGUGGCUACAUGCAGAGCACACGUGCUUGGACCCCAGGCUGGGUGAGACCAGAAGGUAGACGAGUGAGAUCCCCAGCAUCACCCUGUUGCCUCACCAUGAACCACCCAGAAGAAAGUCACACAUCCUGCAGUCCUUACCCCUAAUGUUGCCUUUCAAAACACUUCCCUGAAAACCACUGAGGAGUUUGGGUUUUUUGAGCAUCAGCUGCCCAUUCUCCUGGCUGGGCACUACGAUAAAUGCUGUACUUGCCUUCACCACAGUCCCCUCUCAGUAAAUAGGCUUUGCUGCACAGUGGGCGAGCAGACCCAAGCUCAGUUUGGUAAGGAGAUAAGUCCAUGGGAUUCUCAU